AACGAACGCUGGCGGCAGGCCUAACACAUGCAAGUCGAGUGCGCCCUUCGGGGUGAGCGGCGGACGGGUGAGUAACGCGUGGGAACGUGCCCUUUUCUACGGAAUAGCCUCGGGAAACUGAGAGUAAUACCGUAUACGCCCUUUGGGGGAAAGAUUUAUCGGAAAAGGAUCGGCCCGCGUUGGAUUAGGUAGUUGGUGGGGUAAUGGCCUACCAAGCCGACGAUCCAUAGCUGGUUUGAGAGGAUGAUCAGCCACACUGGGACUGAGACACGGCCCAGACUCCUACGGGAGGCAGCAGUGGGGAAUCUUAGACAAUGGGGGCAACCCUGAUCUAGCCAUGCCGCGUGAGUGAUGAAGGCCUUAGGGUUGUAAAGCUCUUUCAGCUGGGAAGAUAAUGACGGUACCAGCAGAAGAAGCCCCGGCUAACUCCGUG
rnacentral:rRNA from 1 species